UACCCCUUUAUAGCAAGCGUUAUCCGGAAUUAUUGGGCGUAAAGCGUUUGUAGGCGGGCGAGUGUGUUUAAUGUUAAAUCUUAAAGCUCAACUUUGAAAUUGCGUUAAAAACUGCUUGUCUUGAGUAUGGUAGGGGUAAAGGGAAUUCCCAGUGUAGCGGUGAAAUGCGUAGAUAUUGGGAAGAACACUAAACAGCGAAGGCACUUUACUAGGCUAAUACUGACGCUGAGAAACGAAAGGUAAGGUAGCGAAACGGAUUAGAUACCCGUGUAGUCUUACCCGUAAACUAUGGACACUAAACGGUAAAUUUUUAAUUUACUGUUAAAGCUAACGCGUUAAGUGUCCCGCCUGGGGAGUAUGCUUGCAAAAGUGAAACUCAAAGGAAUUGACGGGGGCCCGCACAAGCGGUGGAGCAUGUGGUUUAAUUCGACGGUACACGAAGAACCUUACCAGGAUUUGACAUGCUAGAUAGUUGCUUGAAAGAGUAACGUGCCGUAAGGAAUCUAGACACAGGUGGUGCAUGGCUGUCGUCAGUUCGUGUUGUGAAAUAUUGGGUUAAGUCCCGCAACGAACGCAACCCUUGUCUUUAGUUAUUUUCUAAAGAGACUGCCUGUAAUAAACAGGAGGAAGGUAAGGAUGAGGUCAAGUCAUCAUGCCCCUUAUGUCCUGGGCUACACACGUGCUCCAAUGGGAAAGACAAUGAGCUGCAAAUCUGUAAAUUUAAGCAAAUCUCUUAAACUUUCUCGUAGUUCGGAUUGUGGGCUGCAACUCGCCCACAUGAAGUUGGAAUCGCUAGUAAUCAGCAGUCAGCUAUAUGGCGGUGAAUCCGUUCCCGGCCCU
rnacentral:rRNA from 1 species